GAUGGGAGGACUAGGGUAUGGAGAAUACCAUGAGUACAUGUAUCCAUCAUGUUGUGAUGGGAGGACUAGGGUAUGGAGAAUACCAUGAGUACAUGUAUCCAUCAUGUUGUGAUGGGAGGACUAGGGUAUGGAGAAUACCAUGAGUACAUGUAUCCAUCAUGUUGUGAUGGGAGGACUAGGGUAUGGAGGAUACCAUGAGUACAUGUAUCCAUCAUGUUGUGAUGGAGCACUAGGGUAUGGAGGAUACCAUGAGUACAUGUAUCCAUCAUGUCGCGUGCCAACAUUGCAGCUUGUUGGUAUGAUGGUGUGGGGUGUGUUUUCAUGGCACACAUUGGACCCCUUGAUAAAUGUGGAGCAACGUUUAAAUGUCACAGGAUAUCUGAACAUCAUUGCCAGUCAGGUACAUCCCUUCAUGGCAGCAUUGUAUCCAUCUGCAAGUUGAUUUUUUUCAGCCCCAUGCCACAAGGCUAGGAUUGUCAAGGAAUGGUUCCACAAACAUGACAGUGAAUUCAGCUCACUGCAGUGGCCUGCCCAGUCGCCAGAUGUCAAUCCAACUGAGCAUCUGUGGGAUGAGAUGGAACGAGCUAUUCAGAGUAGAGAUCCAAACCCGCCAACUUAACACAACUAUGGGAAGCACUGGAGAUAACAUGGGCCAGCAUCCCUGUGGUGGGGAAAAAAGUGGAUGCAAAUCAAUAUUGGGAAGGUAUCCCUAAUGUUUUGUGCACUCAGUGUAUGUUUUAGUUCAUUUAUUGAUUUUUAAAACCAGAUAUUUUUUAUUUAACUAGGCAAGUCAGUUAAGAACAAAUUCUUAUUUACAAUGAUGGCCUACCCCGGCCAAACCCGGUGUAACAAGUGCGCUGAGAGUCGGGAAGCAAGUUUAGGGAGUGAGUGUUUUACUAAAUAAAAGAAAAAAUGAACACGAAACACAAACAAUGCACCGACAUGAAAACAGAGUCAAUAACACCUGAGGAAAGAACCAAGGGGAGUGACAGAUAUAGGGAAGAUAAUCACGGAGGUGAUGGAGUCCAGGUGAGGGUCAUGAGGCGCUGAUGCACGUGAUAAUGGUGACAGGUGUGUGGGAUAAUCAGAUAAUCUGUUCUGUUGUUCUAUUGGACUCUAGAUCCUGUUCUGUUGUUCUAUUGGACACUAGAUCCUGUUCUGCAGUUCUAUUGGACACUAGAUGCUGUUCUGUUGUUCUAUUGGAGAGUAGAAUCAGUUGUGUAUAAAUGUUUUUGAACUAAAAACGGUUUGUGACUUGCUUGUGAAUGUGUAUGUAUAGCUAUUUAAUUAAACACUUGCUCAGCUGUGCAAAAGUUCAUCAGUUGAAACAGCCUUCCGUAUUUGCAUGAUAUUUACUGUUACAGCUCUGCCUCAGAGAUUGAUGGAAAUAACAAUUAUGAGGAAGUUCAUUAUGUAUAACAGAGACAAGGUGAAAUGCACUAUGUAUACAGAGACAAGGUGAAAUUCACUAUUUAUAGAGACAAGGUGAAAUUCACUAUUUAUAGAGACAAGGUGAAAUUCACUAUUUAUAGAGACAAGGUAAAAUUCACUAUGUAUAACAGAGACAAGGUGAAAUUCACUAUUUAUAGAGACAAGGUGAAAUUCACUAUUUAUAUAGACAAGGUGAAAUUCACUAUUUAUAACAGAGACAAGGUGAAAUUCACUAUGUAUUAGGGGUGAAACGGUUCACAAAACUCACGGUUCGGUACGAUACAGUACAGUGGUGUCACAGUUCAGUACGGUUUCGAUAAAUCGACAAAAUAAAUUACUGAGAAAUAUGUAAUUUAUAUUUAUAUUUUUCAUUUAUUAUAAUAGUAAACAUAUGGAAACAAAGGGACAACAAAACAGCAGUGCCUGCCUUAUAACAUGAAAUAAAAUAGUCAUUUAAAACAGAACUUCAACAAGAGUGCAUAGUCCAGCAGCAUACAGUUGAAGUCGGAAGUUUACAUACACUUAGGUUGGAGUCAUUAAAACUCAUUUUUCAACCACUCCACAAAUUUCUUGUUAAUUAACAAACUAUAGUUUUGGCAAGUCGGUUAGGACAUCUACUUUGUGGAUGACACAAGUAAUUUUUCCAACAAUUGUUUACAGACAGAUUAUUUCACUUAUAAUUCACCCUAUCAUAAUUCCAGUGGGUCAGAAGUUUACAUACACUAAAUUGACUGUGCCUUUAAACAGCUUGGAAAAGUCCAGAAAAUGUAAUGGCUUUAGAAGCUUCUGAUAGGCUAAUUGACAUCAUUUGAGUCAAUCGGUGGUGUACCUGUGGAUGUAUUUCAAGUCCUACCUUCAAAA
rnacentral:lncRNA from 1 species